CACGCACGCACGCACGCACGCACGCACGCACAGGAUCUGAUUAUUACAUGCAUACUCCGUUCCAAACCCAGACCCCAUUUGGUCUCAGCAGGGCUAUCUUUUUCCUUGUUCUCCUCUUCCCAAGGAUCGGAGGGCACCUUACUUCCCCUAGCAGAGUGGAGGUGGAUGAAGGACAUAAAGGCAGGGGCAUUACAAUACACCUAGGAAAGUUCAGUUUUAUUCCUCAAAACAAUACUUUUCCGUGGGAAACAAGCCCUGUGGAGUUUCUGCCAUCAAGUCGUUUCAGUUUAACACACUCCUUUCUAGAGGAUAAGCACAUGAAGAAUUGAAACUGCAGGGGAACAUUUAUAAAAAGUAGAUCCUACAAGAUGAAAACUCAAGCUAUUUUAACAAAUAUUCCUUUGAAACAUCAAGAUAUCUCAAUACUUCAGAGAUAAAAGAUUUGGUCUAUUAAGGAAUUCGGCUGGAGAAGUAAACACUUCAGGUUACAGACAGUUAAUAGUAGGUUAUAUGUCUUACAACAAGCAUCUCAGUCGGUCAAAAUAAGCCAAGGUGAAACUAGAAAAAAGCAGUGCUGCCUCUGCUUUAGAGUCAAAAGCAUCACAAUAUCACUUAAACGUAGAAAGAAAUUUUAUCUUCCCCCUUCAGCAGUUAUCGUGCCAUACAGAGUUAAAUGCUAACAAAACAAAACAAAAAGACCCUGGAAAGUACAGCCUAUUCUCCAAGGAAAUGAAGGUGUUGAUCCUAACAGCACUGCCUGCCCGCUGAUCCCGGAGUCUGCUUCCUGGGAUCCAAGCCAUGACUCUUUCACUGAAGGGAGCUGCCAGUGCUAGAGAGUGAGAGGAGGACUGGAUGAGGAAGCCCUGGGGAACCAGAGGGACUCAGCUCCUUCCUUUACUGCCAUCCCUCUUUCUCUCCCCGCUCCCUUCCCAGACCCACUGCUUCUACCUGGGGAAACAGCUUGCUAAAGGCCUUUCCUCUGCCCACCGGCCCAGAAAUUGCUUUAAGGAGUGGCCUGCUGUCAUUUUUUACUGAGGAAGACAUAAAAACACUUUCUGGUGCUGGAGGCGGGAAAUCUGGUCUACAAGUAACUAGUUGUAUGAUCUAUUCUACAGGAAAUAAAGAAGAUUAACAUAAUUGACUGAAUGGUAAGAAAUGAAAUCCAGACUCA
ensembl:lncRNA